UUAACUUUGUGUUAAUUCUCUAACUUAUCUGACACAUACAUUUUUAUUGAUCGGCCUCAGAUAGGUAUGACUUCUACAUAAGCCUACUUAUGAUUGCUUAACAUAACACUAAAUUGCCCUGACACAAUUCAUUAACCAUUAACUCCUAACAUUAAAUCUUGCUUUUUACAUUAUUGCCAUUUAUUUAUUUCCAUUUAAUUC
rnacentral:lncRNA from 1 species